ensembl:lncRNA
CAUUAACAACAACAACAAAAAAAGGCCUUCCUUACCCGCGGCUCUCCCACCCAGCUGCGUCAGUGUGCGCCUGACCACGCGCGGCGGAAUCGCGGUCUGGACGAGCCCUUUUGAUGAAGUCAGCAGGCGGCUAUGAAACGGGACCCGGGACAAACGCCCUCUAUAGCCUCUCUCGUCUAAUAAAAGUAAUGGGCGAAACACAGUUCCUUCUCCUCCGCUGGUUUUCUUGCCAGCGAGGAUCCUACCCGCUCUGGCCGGAUCCGAGCGACGCUCCGGGUCUCUGCAGCCUCUGGGCGCGCUCACACCCGCGUGCACGUGCCGAGCUGCGCUCCGGAGUGGAAAACGGGGAAAGCAAAGCGAGUAAUGGAGAGGCUGAGGACGGCCUGGGCGUCGGGGGAGGGGGGCGGUGAGGGAUGGGUAUGUAUGACCUAAGUUCUUCCAAAGGCUGUCUCGCAGAAACAUUGAAAAGAAAAGAAAAGAAAACGGACACCUUUCAUCUGUUUCCACUUGCCUAGAGCCGCUCCCGCGGCGCGCUGACCUCCCCGGGCAGCGCGACUGUGCGCGCGCACGUGUGUGCAGGUCGGGGCGCCUGGCCGCGCGGCCGUGAACGCGGAGGGCAGAGUGCUCGCUCACACUGUCCUUCCAAACGAUCGCCGACCGCUGAACGAAGGCGCUCGGGUCUUGGCGGCUCCGGAAGAGGGUCUCGGGUCACUGGGAUCCUUCAUCCCGUCCGCGGCGCGCGCACCGCCGCCCGCGCACCGCCACCCUUCCGCUCACCCCGCUCGGCGCUCCCAGCUGGGGACGCGGACACCGGCGGGACCUGAGCCCGGGGACGCGCGCACGGCUCGCCCAAAGGGGCUGCGGGUCGGGGUUCGCGGGGAAGGGAAGAACCGGAGCGAUGGAAGCACGGGAUGCGGAGAAGAGGCGAAGGAUGCUGAUUCCUGGCCGCGGCGCGGAGAAACUUCAGGAAGCGGGUCGGAGGCGGGCGUUCGCGGAGAGGAUGGGCCGUGUGCGGCCGCUGAACGAAACCAGGAGGGACACGUUAGCGGCCAGCACAGUUCUAGUCCUCCGACCUCAGGGGCUGGGCCGUGGUGCUAGAACCGGGUCUCAGGCUGAGCCCAGAACGUACAAAAGAGCGCGCCCCGGUCCAGGGACCCCUCCCGCGGCACUGCCCGCGGGGCCCGAGUCUUUCGGGCCGGUGGAAACCAGGGGCCGCGUCCGCGCUCCAGGGACCCCUCCCGCGGCACUGCCCGCGGGGCCCGAGUCUUUCGGGCCGGUGGAAACCCAGGGGCCGCGUCCGCGCUCCAGGUUUCCUGACUGGAGCGGCGGGGACCCCCCGGGCUUCGCCUCCCGCGGUGUUUUGCAGACACACGUGGCCGCAUCAGAACACCGUGUCAGAGCUUCGAAAGGCCAAAGUGUCCAGAGACCCGCGAGCGGGCUCGACCCCGCUUGGAAGGCAUUCACGUUUCAUUUGACUUAAACUCUGUACAGUUUACAGCGAAGUGUUCCUGUUUCCCAAAAAAGAAAACACAGACCCGGACUCGCGGCUCUUCUUGCCAGUUUCUGAUGCCACUCGCUCCACAGUCCCCCAGGAAGAGCGACAUCAGAGGGGACAGGUCCCCUGUACAUGGAAACCACUUCCACUUGACACAGAACUUCACGAAGAGGAACCACGUAAAAUGUGUCUUUUUAAAUCUUAAUUGACCCCCUCCCCUCGGCAUAUCUACACGCUCCAAGAUGGUACCUCUUUGCCCACCCAACUCUUAAAACUCCCAAGACAGGGCAAAAGGCGGGAAGAGAGAGAGAAGCCGGGCUCGGCUAGGCUUUAUUCAAACGCUCCAGUGUUGCUGUCCGUUUGCCCCGAAUGCAAUCGACGUGGGGGAGGCCGGGCCGGGGCGCCCUCAGUGGCUGGGGACGGCGCCAGGCCCACCGCGGCGGGGACGAGGCGGCAUCCGCGGGCCACAGCGCCCCCUCGCCGCCCGUGCGCACGACUUCGGGCCGCGUUGCCGCUGGGCCUUCCCGCCUCCCGGGAGUCCCGGGCAAGGAGUGGAGGGCGCCUCGGUCUGCGCCACCGCUGCUUUCCGAGGAGGAUCUAGAGCCCCAGGCCGCCGUUUCCCAGAGCUCGGCCUCCAGGAAACCGCGGUUCCCGGAAACACGAGUGUCCUCGCCAACUCCUUCCAAAAGCACCGGCCACUGUGGGGACAAGAAACAGAAAUGUGAUGGUGUUAACCGAUCCUCUUUUUUUUUUUGAAUGCUCACCUGGAGCAAAGUGUGUGUGUUGGGGGCGGGGAGGUGGAAUCCACCGUAAAUCCCGCAACCGAACUGCUCGGAUCCAUCGCUUUCAGGGCACGCACCCGGUUGGCCCGCGCGCCGGCCCUUUCUCUUCCAUCCCAGUGAGGAGGGCAACCGAAAGUGACAGAGGCCCAGUGUCCGUUCAGACUCCGGCGCUCCACAGGCCUAAACAGCCUCCUCGCCCGUGAGCGGAGCAUCCAGGUCCUGCUCCCCGAAAGCGGCGGCCGCGGGGUCCGGGAGCUCCCCGCGGUGACCCGAGACGCAGUUGCAGGAUUCCAGGCCAUCCUCGCAGGCGGCCGCGCGCCCAGCCAUCGCGUCGAGCCUCCGCAUUUGCAGCCUGUUCUUUCGAUUGAGUUUUUAGAAAAGAAGACCGAGCCAACUUUAAGAAAAGGGAAAGUGAUUUUAUAUAUUAAAAAAAAAUCAGAGUGCUUUAAAGCGAAACGGAGUUUAUAUAUCCCGGUAACAAUGCAGAGCGUAAAUGUUAAUGUCUCUGCGUAGGCAUUUUAAUUUGCUACAGUCACCACCAAUAAAAACAGCAUGUAGUACGAUUCGACUGUUUAAUAGUGCAAGGUAGACGGCUUUUAUUAGUAGCAGGCAGCAGUAUGGAAAAUUUAGAUUUCAGUGGAGGAGUAUAAUUGCUGGGGGGAAAAAAAAGACACUGAGCAGAGACUGUCUUCCGGAUCAGCUGCGCUGAGCUGCGGGCAGCGCGAGAGCCGGCAGCCCUUUCUGGAGAAGCACCCUGGGCGACGCGAGACCCUCCAAAGCCACGUGCACAUGUCUGGUUACACACUUAAUUGAUGUCAAAAUCGAGUGUAUCGGAGCUUAUGCUCCCUGCUCCAAACUGGAGAUGUUUUUGUAAUAAUUCGCUGUUUUCUUUUCUGCCCCUGGCAGAGAUCAAGCCCUGGGGGUGGGGGGUGGGGGUGUGGAGUGGGGGAAUCGAGGGAGAGGGAGGAGAGGGCGGGGGGAGGGGAGGAGAAGGCUAGGGGGGCGGCCCCAAAUGCUAAUGAGACAACAGCAGGAACUGGUCUUUAGAAAUGGAAAUACUCAGGCCAGUCCUCCUUGGAGAUAAAAAUUAGACCUGAUUUUUUUUUCUUUUUCUUUUUUCACUUGAACUAUGUAAUUGGAAGGGAACCGAAGGCCCAGAACCUGGUCUGGCGCUGUGAACGUUGGUCAUCCGUCGUGUGUCUGUCUCAUUUCGGCCUCUUCCUGGCCGAAUUCCCUCCCGGGAAGACCACGGAUGCCGCGGACCCUGGGAAAAGCAGGCUCCACGGGGUGCUGCGGCCUCUGAUUCUCCCCGCUUCCCUUUCCUUUUUAACGCGACAAUAAUUGAUUUAAAAUAACUGCCCUGAACUGAAUUAGGGCGUCCUGCUUGGGGUCAAAGCAUUGCUGAAACUCACCUGCUGGGCCCUCGAGGUGGCGCAGAGUGUGUGGGGUGGGGUGGGGGUGACAGUUUGGGUGGGUGGUGAGGGACUGGGGAGUGUUUGGGGGUGAGGCGUCUAGGAAAGUGUAGAGGGUGCAGGCUGGGGUUUGUGGGCGGCGCGGGGGCUCAGAGAGGAGAGCCGGUGUUGAGGGGACGGGCGAGGGUGCAGCGGUUUGGGGGCAAGUGGGGAGGCGGCUGGGGUCAGGUGCCUGGACUUCACAUACCAGGGGGCCACCGCCUGCAGGCGGAGGCGGGUGGGCUCUGCUCAAGUCCAAUCCUGCAGUUUACAACCGGUCUCCUUGGAUCUGGGGGAAGGAAACACAGCCUCGGUGGUUCCGCAGGCGGUCAGGCCCGAGGCUGGAGCCUCCUGGUCCUCGCGCUGCAGCCGCGCCUCGCAAGAGGCCGCAUGGCGCCUGGGGUACCCGGGAGACCGAGACCCGAACGCGAUCACUCUGGUCCUUCCGCGAGCUGCCCAGCCAACGGGCUGGGAAGUGGGCCAGAGGGUUGGUAGGCGGUGGGGUAGCAGGGUGGGGGUAGAGGAGUAGGGGAUGGGGUAGAGGGGUGGGUGGGGAAGGU